CAGCCGCCGCGGUAAUACAGAGGAUGCAAGCGUUAUCCGGAAUGAUUGGGCGUAAAGCGUCUGUAGGUGGCUUUUCAAGUCCGCCGUCAAAUCCCAGGGCUCAACCUUGGAACUGCCUUUGAUACUGUUUGUCUUGAGUUCGAGAGAGGUAAGUGGAACUGCGAGUGUAGAGGUGAAAUUCGUAGAUAUUUGCAAGAACACCAGUGGCGAAGGCGGCUUACUGGACUGCAACUGACGCUGAGGCUCGAAAGCCAGGGGAGCGAACGGGAUUAGAUACCCCGGUAGUCCCUGUCUCUUAUAA
rnacentral:rRNA from 1 species